rnacentral:rRNA from 1 species
AUACGAAGGGUGCAAGCGUUAAUCGGAAUUACUGGGCGUAAAGCGUGCGCAGGCGGUUUUGUAAGACAGGCGUGAAAUCCCCGGGCUCAACCUGGGAACUGCGUUUGAAACUGCAAGGCUAGAGUGUGGCAGAGGGGGGUGGAAUUCCGCGUGUAGCAGUGAAAUGCGUAGAGAUGUGGAGGAACACCAAUGGCGAAGGCAGCCCCCUGGGUCAACACUGACGCUCAGGCACGAAAGCAUGGGGAGCAAACAGGAUUAGAAACCCGAGUAGUCC